rnacentral:misc_RNA from 1 species
GAAAUGCGAUAAGUAAUGUGAAUUGCAGAAUUCAGUGAAUCAUCGAAUCUUUGAACGCACCUUGCGCUCCUUGGUAUUCCUUGGAGCAUGCCUGUUUGAGUAUCAUGAAAUCUUCAAAGUAAAUCUUUUGUUAACUCAAUUGGUUUCUACUUUGGUAUUGGAGGUCUUUGCAGCUUCACACCUGCUCCUCUUUGUUCAUUAGCUGGAUCUCAGUGUUCUGCUUGGUUCCACUCGGCGUGAUAAGUUAUCUAUCGCUGAGGACACUGUAAAAGGUGGCCAAGGUAAAUGCAGAUGAACCGCUUCUAAUAGUCUAUUGACUUGGACAAUACUUUUAUGAUCUGAUCUCAAAUCAGGUAGGACUACCCGCUGAACUUAAGC